CUGUAUAAUCCAUUCCUUCUUUUUAUAAGAUGGGGUUUCAGAGUGCUUGAUUUCCUUUUCUUUCAGAAUUCUUUCAGAAGUUGGGUUUUUAAGUUUAUGCUGGUUUAAAGACUAGGAUUUUGAUUUUUGGUUUUUAGUUUAUAAUGAUUUAGGGAAUAGGGUUUCAGCCUUGGGCUUUAAGGUUAUACUGGUUUAGGAAUUAGUUUAGUUUAACUUUAUGGAUUUACAAGUUUAAAGAUUAGGAUUUGGGGGUUGGGUUUUAUGGUUAUACUUGUCUUAAAUGCAAGAUUUUCUACUGCUUGUUCUUUAUGUUUUAUAUCUUUAGCUUAAUUCUUGGGUGGAUAUGAAACUGUUAUGAUAUUUAGUAAUGUGAUAAUUGAUUUAUUUCUUAGAUGAACGAUGUUGUUUUUGAUUUUUCAUACUUAGUAAUGUGAUAAUUGAUUUAUUUCUUAAAUGAACGAUGUUCUUGCUUUUGGUUUUUCUUAGUUUAAAGUUUGAUCUUUUAUUGAAAAGGAAUUGGUUUUCUUAUUUUACAUUUGGUCAGUUUAGUGAGGGCUCCUUAUUUAAUUUUACACAUCCUCAUGACAUUUUCUACCCAUCCUUAUGACAAUUUCUACUUAUAGUUGCAUGUUAAAUGUUAAUUGCAUAAUCUCCAUAGCAACACUUGUUUACUGUGGAGAUUCAUGUUUCAUGGUUAUAAUGUUUUUCAAUUGUUAACUCUUGACAUAAUUUAAUCUUUGUUCUUGGCCACAACUUAAUGUGUACAACCAACCAUAUUUCAUUUGUUUGGAAGAUUCCAACUUAACCCUUUGAGUUUGAAAUCGAACUUUCUUCACCUUCAGAAUUCCCAUACCAGAAAUAUGAAACGUCUCCCAUGCUUGUUUGGAAGUAGUCUCAUUUGCAUUUUCUCGAACAUAUCAUCAUCUAAACCUUGAUGGAUGAUAGUGAGAGCACACUGAUCCUUCUUCUUUUCUUUCUCCAAAGCUUCUUUCUAGGUUGGGGUAAGUGUUUCCUCGUGUCAAGCUGUGCAAAGCCUUUUUCAAGAAUACCCCAUACUUAAUGGAAACCAAGUAUGGCCUUCAUUUUAUGUGCCUUAUUCUCACAAUUAAGUUAAGUGAGUCGAGGAUAUCGGAAUAAUGGAGAGACCGCUUUCGAUGUCAUCUUGGCCCAAAUACCACUUGUUGGAAGGUGGUGUACACUUACACAACUCAGAAAAAAUCUAAAUAAGUGAUUAUGUGAAUUAACUCAAAUUCUACACAAACACAUAAUGAAGAGCUCACAAAACUUAGAAAAUUUUUGACAACAUGGUUCCCGCUUCCGUUUUGAGUUGUGCAUCAAUCGCCUGGGGUCAUACAAUAGUAUCACAUCUUAGACCCCCACUGUAACUCUCUCUUCCUUAUUAGUGUAUCGGAACAUAGUGCAUAGGUACUCUAUGAUGCUAGGAGGACAAGACGACGUGAUAAACUACAAUCACGUAUAGAAGAACUAGAUCUUGUUGCUUUUUUUCUUAUUUUGCACAUCCACACACUAACGAUACAAAGAGUCUCCUUAUAAGGCAACUAAUCAUGGUAAAUUUUUCAUUAGGUUACUAAAUUUUGGUAUAUUUUCACUUUGGUCAUCAAACUUCAAUUUGCAUCAAUUUGAGCAUGCAACUUUAAUUUGAUUCCACUGAUCAGUCACUUGAGGGAUUUUGGCCCCAAAUGAUUACAUGGCCGUCGUAAAAUCCAAGUCAGCUUCCCUAUUACACCUUCUUAAGUCCAUUUGGGGUGUCCAUAUGAUAAGGACGCACUCUUGUGUAUGUGUCGAUCAUGUAAUAAAGUGCUAAGAAGCAAGGUUGAAUCCACACGGUAUAAAUAGUAGAAGUAUUAACACCAAUCUUGUUAUCUAGCUACAACGAAAUAUCAAUUAAGUGUCAAAUUAACUAAACCUAAGAAUAAAAGGACUUGAAUUGCAAGUUUAAGUAUUAAGAAAUCAAUAGAUGAAAAAGAUGUCCGGAUAAGAUUUCACUUGGGAUUUUAGAGUUAAAGUAAUUGCAAUUAUAUAUAGAUCAAACCUUAGAAUUGUUGAACCGAGGGAUUUCAAAUAUAUAUCGAGUGCUCUCAAAACUCCCCAAUACCUAAUCCCAUACUACGAUAGGAUUGAAUUUCUUCUAACCCUACUUUCACACGACUGCAUAGAGAUCUAGGAAAUCCCUAAUAGUAAUCGGAGCUCUCGCUACACGACUCUAAUUCGGAGGAAUCUCAAGUGGCCUAUCUCUAGCACACACUCUUAAUUCCUUUCAUCUAUUGGUGAUCUCACGUGAUGAAUCUCUUGAUCUCAAUCACACAAUCAAAAUGAGUAGCCACUCUCAUUAUGCUAAAUCAACAAAAUUAGAGAUACAAAUGAACCCAACAAGACGAAUGCGAUCUAUAUUAAAAGUAAUAUCAAAAUAAAAUCAUCCCAAGCUACAUCAAAUCUAAACACCCAAGUACAUUACCCCUCCAUUGGAUUCAUGUUCAUCUCAAAGCAAUGGAAAUAAAGCCCUAGAACACUAAACAUGGAAGAAGAAUCCCCACUCGAUGCUCCACACUAGGAAUCAAUGUGAGCCGAUAUUGUCACCUUCGAUCGUCAUUCCGGCUACUCCUUCGAACUCCUUCUUCCUUAUUUGAUUUGCCUCCAAACCCUAGCCGUCGCAGUCACUUUACCAAAAUCAAGCUCUCUAUGAUAAUGUUGGAAAUAUAGUCCCACAUCAGUUGUGUGAUAGAAAUGUAAUGGGUUUAUAUAUAAGUAUGGGGGUUGAGCCACUAAGUCUUGAGACUUUUUGGUGUAAAAACUCUAAGCUUAUGUAUAAUCCAUAUAGGGUCCACUAGUACAAAAUAUAAAAAUCUAACAUGGUAUCAGAGAAAUUAAGUGGAACCCAAUAUAUAUAUUAAAAUAUGUAUAUAUAGGGCCUCUGAGACACAAGUGGUGUACAAGUCCAUGUGAGUAGGACCUUUGAGACACAAGUAGUGUACAAGUCCUUGUGUGGAGGACCUCUAAGACACAAAGUAGUGUACAAGUUCUGGUAAAAAUAGACCUAUGGUGUACAAGUCUGAGUAAGUUCAAACUAACAAAAAAAAAUGACCCAGUUGAACUUGAGGGAGGGUGUUGGAAAUAUAGUCUCACAUCAGUUGUGUGAUAAAAUUGUAAUGGGUUUUAUAUAUAGGUAUAGGGAUUGAGCCACUAAGUCUUAAGACUUUUUAGUUAUGUAUAAUCCAUAUAAGGCCCACUAGUAUAUAUGCAUGGACCAUGUAUUUUUUUGGACACUUAGCGUGCCGAUGCACUGAAAGAUACAUGGCAGUGUACCUUGCCCGUGUAGUUCUCUGUUUGAUGUUUUCGGCCCCAUUUGGCUCCCGAUUUCAUUCCUUCGGCUCCAGUUGUGCUUAUAAUGUAUAAAUGGAAUAAACUAAGUACCAAAUUAUCCAUAAAAACACUCUUGAAGACCACCUAAGUGCAAACGAUAAUCAAUAGGAUAUGUAUAAUAAAACACUUAUCACCAUGUCACCGGAAAGGCACCAUGUCACAUGGCACAUCAACAUCAUCUUCUUCCUCCUUCAUGUCCUCACUUUACCCAACAACACUCACCCUUCUCCUCCUCUUCCUACUAUUCCUUCUCUUCCUUUUUUUAUAUCCUCCACUACUCUCAUCUCCUCUCGACAUCCACACCAUCCUUCUUCAUACUUCUCUAAACCUUUUCAUUAUUGAGACCUUUCCUCCAUGGGAUUCAUCAGAGGUAUUCCUCUCUACCAACACCCUUCUUCUUUCCCAUUUUUUUCCAUCACCACAAUCAUCAACAGCUUCAGCAGCAGCAACAACUACAAGAACAGCAAUAGUAUCAUUUAUGUGACUUCUUCAAGCACUGCAAGGUGAAGAUAUAUCCCCAGGUUUUCAGCCCAGAACAAUGUUCGUGCACCUAGGAUGCAUUGGAGUACUCCUCUCCAUGCUUGUUUUGUUCAUGCAGUUGAGUUGUUGGGAGGCUAUGAAAGAUCUACUCUCCAUGCCCAUCCUGUUCAUGUAGUCAUUAAGAUGGAGAGAGGGAGUGAAUCAAUGAAUCACGAAGGAGGAAGAAGAUGACACUGAUGUGGCGUGUAAUGUGGUGGGUUUUGAAUGAUGUGGCCUUUUUUUGUGUGACGUGGACACGUCAAAUUAAAGUUGGGUAGGCUGACUUGGAUUUUUUGGAGCCCACUUAAUCAAUUGGGGGCCAAAAUCGCUCGAUUGACUGUCCGGUGAAAUCAAAUUGAUGCAAAUUGAAGUUCUGGGACCAAAAAAAAAAUGGGUCAAAAUUUAGUGACCUUAUAAAAAAUUUACCCCAAAAAAUCAUACAAACUGGUUGUAUUUGGUCAAAUAUGGAGACUUACACGUGGGCUGCUUCUCUUGUAAAACAUGGGCUGCUUCAAAGAGUCAAAUAUUGAGGCUUACACAUCUGAAACACGAGCUGCCGAGCUGCUGAAAUUUUCCUCAAUUAAGGUACGUAGAUGGUAAAAUACUUGAAGCUUGCUUGAUGUAUGUUCAAGUUUAUUACUCAACAUAUUCAACCAUAUCCUUCUGUUGAUGGACUAAACAUUUUUUUUUGCAUGACUUAUUGGGUUGCUUGUUGCCA